GUCACUUCAGCAGCACAUAUACUAAAAUUGGAAAGAUAGAGAGAAGGAUUCCACGGCCUCUGCACAAUGAUGACACUCAAAUUUAUGAAGUCUUCCAUAUAAUU